UGAUGAAGUCUGUGAUGACAUCAUCAAUCUGGCGGCUCCGCCUCAAACAUUUCUGAAGAUGAGCUGCCACCACAUUUGUCACGGAGGGGUCGCAUUUUACUGCGUGGAUCGUUCUCCCAGGAUGCCGACGGGACUCCAGAGGCAAGGUGCAGACCGGAACAAGAAGGAGGGGUUUGGAUAAGGAAAACUGUGAAGUCGGACCAGGCGACUGGAGUGAGAUUAAAAAUGUCUCAUUUGAGAGAAAACACAGGGACAAACUAAUGGGAUAAUAAAACUAAAUUGUUAUUGUUUCUGCACCAAGCUUGAGGUUUUUGCCAAGUUGAUAAAACAACACACAAUGUUGUUGCCCAUGCCUUGAUCUUUCUGUCGGUUUUUGGCCUUCUCUUCAUUUCUUCUUUUACCCUUUCUCCUUUGGACACAGUGCCCACAGAGCAGAUUUUGAUUGAGCUUUGUUUUUUUCCCUUAAGACCUAGAAGUUAGUCCUGUGCUUUGUACUGUAGUUCUGUUUUUUACAAUGAACUCAUCAGUGGUAUUAAUGCUGACCGGGGGGUUUGCACCAUACCGCUAUUAAAAUGUUUGUUCCAUUGCUGCUGUGUUGUGCUAUAACCACUGAACAAAUGAAUAAACGCAACACUUUUGUU